AUCCAGGUGACAAGUCCCAAAUAGGACGAAAUGUGCAUCCUGGAU
rnacentral:hammerhead_ribozyme from 1 species